CUUUUUUUCCUUCCUCCUCUCCCCCUCCCUCCUAUCUCCCUCCCUCUCUCCGCCCUCAGCCCUGCCCAGCCCAGGAGGCAGGCAGGAGGCAGCCCUUGCUCUAAUAGGCUUUGGGAAAUUCCUCCAAGCUGGCCCCACUCAGGGGGCCAAAGAAAUCCAGGUGUCCUGCCCAGUGUACAAAGCUCAGCGGGAUGCCCAGGCAGAGCCGGGCUCUCCAAAGGGAGAACGUGGGGACUGGCCUUGAUGAGUGGACGCUGUCUUCCUUAGAGCACUGGAAUGCUCUCACCCGGAGAUUUCAGAGGGCAGCUCUGUGCCCUCUUCAAGGCAGACUCCUGGGAACAAAGCUGUGGCAUCUCUCCAGCUAGGCUCUUCUUCAAGCCACAGGACUAAGAUCUGAGGCUGAAGAUCCAAAGAGGACUCAAGGAAGGCAGCAAAAGAGAGCAGUCCCCAGGCAGAGACUAGCAUGGCUGAGCACUGGAAGAGAGUCAAGAGCAUAGUUUUCAGGACCUGCAUCCCAGGUGUGAUCCAAGGGCCAGGUUCAGAUCCACACAGCUGAGGAUUAAUGGAGUUCUACUGCGCCUGUGCGUGACAGUCCUCAUGGACUUACUAAAAUAUCUAACAGAUGUUUGCUUAGCUCAGGUAACUGCUAAACCCUGUUCUUGGUCCUGGGAAGUUGGGCAAGAGUCACACAGACAGCUUCAUGUCUUUUCAAAGCCUCCAUUCUCCUAUGGGUUCUCAGGGUCUCUGUGUGAAUGUGAGUGUGUGUGUGUGUGUGUGUGUGUGUGUGUGUGUGUGUGUGUGCCAACAGAGCCCACCUUGCUUUGGAGCAGCCAGGAAGUGGGGGAUCCAGGAGUACUAGGUUGGGUAAAGCACUUUUGCCCAGGCAAAUUAUGCACACAUCAGUCAGGAUGAUAAUAGUCUCCUCAGAGUGACACUUACGCCAUCCCAGCAUCCUGAGUCCCCCUAUCCUUUACCAGCCUGGCCUCUGCCCUAAUGCCAACAUGAUAGCUCCCAUCCUAUGGACAAAGGCGUAAACAUCAGGAGGCAUCAUCAGAACGGCCAUCCGGAGGUACAGCCAGAAACACUAGCUCAGAUCUCGUUCUGCACCACUCCCGAAGGCUUGCGGGUAUUGUGACUUGCCAAGGGAAGGCCAAACUGCGAUUGUGAGCUGGGACCACUUAGUCCAGAGCCCGUGUCCCCUGUGAGCAAGGACACCCCUCCCCCAGUCAUCCAGCCCCACUCUGUUGGCCCAGAAGAAAUCACAAGGGUUGAGGUGACAGACCCCAGAAGAUGCCAGGUGUGAGGGACAGCACUGGGUGCACAGGGAAGCGAGGCUACAACCCCUGCAGACCCAGUGGCCCCAGCAUCUGCCCCACGGUGGGCCGCUGUGUCCAGCUCAGCACCUCCUCCAGUGUGUCCCACCCUGGCAGGUACUGUCCUUCCGCCCCCUACUGGCUCUGUGUGUCUCCUGUAGACAGUGGUAGAGUCAGGCUAAAUAAGGAGUCCUCCACCCCUGGUCCCGAGCCCUGGGAGAGGCUGCAGGCCAUUUAAGCAGCAACAUUGUUGGCAGCAACAGCAUCAGCAAGUGCUUUCCCAGAUGUGCCUCAUUCCUGACAUGCCGGUAAGACCCACGUCCUGUCCCAGAGGUGGCCGUUGCCAGGGUGUCUCAGCCCUGUCUCCACAGGGAUCCAGUGGGAGAACUUCAGGUUCUGUCCAGACUGAGAUACCAGCUGAGGGUCUGGAGUGUGGGCUGUGUGGACAUGCAGGGUGUGGCCCAGCUGUGCCUAGCUACUGUCGGAGUCAGGACAGAGAGGCCAAAAAGAAUGGACCCUCCCUUCAGGCCCAAAAGGGAUUUCUCACCCCAGGUUGGGCUAUGGAAAGUCUUAACUUCAUUUCCUCCAUAAGGUCCCAUGGGAGGAUGGGGUUGGUGGUAGGAGGAGUCUCAGACAACAGAUGAUAUGACAACCCAUCACCAGCAGCUCACCAACAGCUUGGAUGCCUUUCCCAGAAUCCUCCAGCCUUUCUGUAUUGGGGCAGAGAGUGCUGAGAGCAAGUGGAAAGCUGGAAGCCCAGUCCUAGUGGACCUGAAAGAAGAGACAACCUCCUCCUGGAGAAUCCAAUUGACCCCACAUCCCGGGCCCCUGACUCUGUAAACUUCCUGGACAGGCUCCUGCUUCCAUCCAUCUCCGGACUCUGAUCCUGGACCUGGAAGACCUGGCUCUCAAUCACCCAGCCAAGCCUUGUCCUCUCAGAAGCCCAUGGCCAGAGCAGGGCCUUGGACUCAUCUGGGGUCAUCUUCCUUGUGAGGGGAAGUCAGGUUUCUCUAGCCCUGGGGAAGAAAAGGAGGCUCAGGUCCAGAGCACCUGGACCUGCAAGGAGCCAAAGGUUCCCCGGGACCACUUGAACUCAUCGAUCCUCCAUCUUCAGGUCCUUCACCCAUCACCCAACAAAGCUCUAUGCCCACUCCCCCUGUUUCACACUGGGGCCCCUGGUGAGCCAUACCUAAUGUAGCCGCCCUCCUUUGGAGCCACAGCAGCCCCUCUGAGCCCUUACCUGCCUGGGAGGGCACCCUCCAUGGAGGCCACACCUCACCAAGGCAGAGGCUGGGAGAGCUGGGUAUAGGGUUGAGUGAGCGUGAUGCUCCAGGAAGCAUGUGUGCCCCCCCCCAACUCUCAUCUUCUCAAGGGAUGGGUACCAUCUUUCCAAGCCUGUGAGUUUCUCCUGUCUGACAGAUACCUCCCGAUAUUUACGUGUCACUGUCACAAGAUCGGUCUUAAAUCAAAAAAGGAUUUAGCAGCCCACUAGUGAUUCAUCAGAUGGAACGAUUUAAUAAUUUUCUAGA